ensembl:snRNA U6 U6 spliceosomal RNA
GUGCUCGCUCCGGCAGCACAAAUACCAAAACUGGACCGCCACAGAGAAGAGCAGCACGGCCCCUGUACAAGGUGACACGCAAAUUUGCAAAGCGGUCCGUACAUUU